GCCCUUAAGUGAUAGCUCAGUUGGUUAGAGUGAGAUGCUGAUAAUGCCAAGGUUGCAGGUUCAAUCCCCAUAAGGGACA